rnacentral:snoRNA from 1 species
AUCCCGUGAUGAGGACAGUCUUCUAUGUAAUUAUGGAAUCUUUCCCAUGUUUUAGUGAAUGAUUCAGCAUGUUGUUGUUGGAAACUUGAAUCUUCCCACGCAGAGCAU